AUGGCUAACAUUGACAACAAGAUCGAAACUCCGAUCAUGGUCAUUGAAUUGGCAAUAAAUCCAGCUGCUCCGGCAUCAGGACCUGGUGCCGGAGCCAAUGAAGGACUAAGAUCUUGGGCCGAGGCCACGGUGGUGGCCAAGAUGACGACCACAAACAAGAAGGAGAAGAGCUUCAAUGUAGUAGCUGAUGAUGCCAUUGAGGAAGUAAAAAUAGAGAAAGUUGAAAAUGAAAAGAAUAGAUAA